AUUGAACGCUGGCGGCAUGCCUUACACAUGCAAGUCGAACGGUAACAGGUCUUCGGAUGCUGACGAGUGGCGAACGGGUGAGUAAUACAUCGGAACGUGCCCGAUCGUGGGGGAUAACGAAGCGAAAGCUUUGCUAAUACCGCAUAAGAUCUAUGGAUGAAAGCGGGGGACCGUAAGGCCUCGCGCGAUUGGAGCGGCCGAUGUCAGAUUAGGUAGUUGGUGGGGUAAAGGCUCACCAAGCCAACGAUCUGUAGCUGGUCUGAGAGGACGACCAGCCACACUGGGACUGAGACACGGCCCAGACUCCUACGGGAGGCAGCAGUGGGGAAUUUUGGACAAUGGGGGCAACCCUGAUCCAGCAAUGCCGCGUGCAGGAAGAAGGCCUUCGGGUUGUAAACUGCUUUUGUACGGAACGAAACGGUCUGGGUUAAUACCCUGGGCUAAUGACGGUACCGUAAGAAUAAGCACCGGCUAACUACGUGCCAGCCGCCGCGGUAACAC
rnacentral:rRNA from 1 species